rnacentral:lncRNA from 10 species
GUAAGGAGGGGGGUCAUAUAAUAUGAUAUUGUCACUCAUCCCUAUCAUUUCUUAUUACUGUUAUAAACAGGAAGAUUUCGAAUCUAAAAGUAAGACUUACUUGUUUGAACCUGGGAUUCUGGCCCAAACUAUACCCACCACAUUUCCACAGAGAAGGUUCAAGUCCCUGGAUGCCUAUGCCAAAUGGAUUCCCCCAUUCUCCCAAGAAUGCAAAUGAUGACAAAUUGACCAAAGCUUCUGGACUUUCCUCUCUAAAACAGGGUCAAUACCUGAGUUAAGACAGAGAAUUUCAAGUCUGUGAAUCUCAGCUUUGGUUCUGCUUCUUCUCUGCAGUUGAGAGAAUUUAUGAAGCCAAAAAAAAUACCUUGACUAUGAAUAAUAGUUUCAAUAAGGAAGACAGAAUGAGUUCUGACACGAUGGUUGGGAGCUGUGACAGGCAGACGAAAAAUGGAGCCAAAUGGCAUGGAGGUGUGUCAUCACUGCUGGAUUUUACCUUGAUCUACAUUCAGUUAUCUACUUCUUUUCAAAAUGCUGGGCAUUCAUUCAAGAAACAGCAUAUAUGUUCUGACUUUGAAGUAAUGGAUGAACUGUCAUGUGCAGUAUAUGGAAAUAAGUUUUAUUACCUUCUUCCCACAUUAACUCAUCCAUCCAUUCAAUAGCCAUUUAUUGAGAAGCUCACUCUGUGUUAGGCACAGUGGUGUCAUGAUGUUGGAACAGUAACAAUAACUCAACCAACCAGGGCUUGUCUGAAUACAAUCCUACAGCAGCAGGAGCUGUGGAGAUAUAGAAGGCAAGGAAGACCAGGUUGUGAGGGAAGACGAAUUUACUCCCAGGAAUGUUGGGAUUGAGAGUAAUAUUCUCCAAUAAUGGUGGAAGACAGAACAAUAAAAGCCCACCAGCUCCUUCUGCAUGGUGGGAUAAGAGAAAAGCCAAGGGCAGAAGUGAGAAAAAUAACCAUCACCAAACUGAAAAGAAAACCUUUAUAAAAAAACUGGAUUGAUAAAUGACCUUUAGUAGUGGAAAGAUACCAUUCCAAUGAAGCAUGAAUUGAAAGGAUUUCUUCUGAAAGCUAAUUUACAUUUUUCUUUUUUUUUUUUUCAUUUUCAGUGUGUUUUAGCAGGUGUAUUGUUCUACAUGGUUAGUUUCUUUACCUCUUUGAGAAAAAUGGGUCAGCUUGACACAUCUGGAUGAAAGAAUCCGUUAGGUGAUUAUGAUUGAAGACAGAUUAAGCCUUGUUAUGAGGGGAAUAUUUGGGGGCUUACCCUGAGGUGAUAUUUGAUGAUUUAGCUGUGGGAGAAUUUCCCUCCCAAGAUCAGCGUGACUGACACUGAAAUUGCUACAGGGGAACCGGACCUUUCCAAGAGGUGACAAGGACAUUUACCUGGUACAACACAAUGGUUCUGGACUGGAAGUCUAGUCCCAUUGAUGAAGUUCCCAAAAGAUGUCCAGGUCCUAAUCCCUGGAAUCUGUGAAUAUGUCAUCUUACACAUCAAAAGAACUUUGAAAAUGUGAUUGAGGUUAAGGACCUUGGAAUGAGGAGAUUACCUUGGAUUAUCUGGUUGGGUCCAAGCUAAUCACAUGAGUCCUUAAAGGAGAAGAACCUUUUUUAGCUGGGUCAGAGAGAGAUGUGAUGAUGAAAACAGGCUCAGGGAGAUGCACUGUAAGAAGGGCUUGACCAGUUGUUUUUGACUUUGAAGAUGGAGGGAAGGGCCAGGAGCCAAGGAAGGUGGGUGGCUUUUGGAAGGUGGAAAAAGCAAGGGAACAUUCUCUCCAGAGCCUCCAGAAAGGAGCUCAGCCCUGUUGACAUCUUUGUUUUUAUUUUUUAUUUUUAGUAGCAUUGAGGUCUCACUAUGUUGCACAGGCUGGUCUUGAACUCUUGAGCUCAAGCACUCCUCCCGCCUUGGCUUCCCAAAGUGCUGGGAUUAUAGGCAUGUGCCACCACAUCUGGCUUCCUACUGACAUCUUAACUUUAGUGCAGUGAGACUCAUAUUUGAAUUUCUGACCUUAUAUUAUAGAACCAUAAGACAUUAUAGAAUUAUAUAGAAUUAUAGAACCAUAAGACAAUAACUUUGUGUUGUUUUAAGAUACUAAAUUUUUGGUAAUUUGUUAUGGCAGCACAAUAAAACCAAUAUAGCAUUAUAUUAUGCCAAUAUCAUCUCUUUGUUGACUAUUGCUAUUAUAGUUUGUUUUAUGGGUCUUGUGUAAACAAUCAAGCUAUAAUAUUGGGUUAACUCCCUAAGGAAAACUUGGAAUAUAGAACAUUAUUUUAAAGACUGAAUUAGGUAAAUACACCUGCCAGUGAAUACAUUAACAAAUUAAUUAAUAUAUUCACUCUUUUCACUCACAAAUACUUUUUGAGCCCCUAUUACUAGCCAAACAUUUUGUUAGAUUCUGAGAAGGGUCUGCUAGACAACAUUGUGACUAUAGUUAAUAACAAUAUAUUGUACUCUUGAAAAUUACUAAGAGAGUAGAUUUUAAGUGUUCUCACCACAAAAAAUAAGUAUGUGAGGUAAUGCAGAUGUUAGUUAGCUUGAUUUAGCCAUUCCCCAGUGUAUACAUAUUUCAAACCUUCAUAUUAUACAUGGAUAAAUAUAUACAAUUUUUAUUUGUCAAUUAAAAGCCCCUCGAUGAAUACAGUUUCCAUUCUGUCCUUGAGGUGGAGCUUGUAGACUUGGUGGGGUCCGGGGAUCAACUUUUAAACAGGCAGUUCCAAAGUGUGGAGUGGAUAGGCUUAUUCUCUUUGUUGCUUUUAUGAUAGGUAUUUAGAAUGCACUUUCCUCUGUUAAGUUAAGCCAGCCACCAUUCCCUCAUUCAGUUUCCAUCCUCCAUGAAUUUGCUCACAUCUGCGGUCUACUGUCACUCAUUCUUUCCUUCUCUUCCUGAGGGCUUGUGUGACUUAUGUUCUUGGCUUUCUCUUAGGAACAUGGUGCAGCUUGGCCCUGCAUUAUCCAUCUGGAAAAACAGAUCAUAAAACAGUCCUUCUCUGUACUAAGUGCUAAAGUAGGAGGAAGGGCAUAAGUCAGCUCCCUGAGCUAUAUAUCCUUGUUUUCAGGAGCUGAGCUAGACACAAGCAGAACUUGCAAAUAAUUUACAUUUCUUUCUGCUGAGGUGGUUCAGAAUAAGUUGCAACAAACAUGAACAGGAAUGGUGCAGUAAAU